UACGGGGGGGGCAAGCGUUGUUCGGAAUUACUGGGCGUAAAGGGCUCGUAGUUGGCCAAUUAAGUCAGACGUGAAAUCCCCAGGCUCAACCUGGGAACUGCGUCUGAUACUGGUUGGCUUGAAUUCGGGAGAGGGAUGCAGAAUUCCAGGUGUAGCGGUGAAAUGCGUAGAUAUCUGGAGGAAUACCGGUGGCGAAGGCGGCAUCCUGGACCGAGAUUGACACUGAGGAGCGAAAGCCAGGGGAGCAAACGGG
rnacentral:rRNA from 1 species